AGGGGCGGUCGAUCAUAAGAUUAGACCUGAGAAGUACCCUUUGAACCUGAUCCGGAUUAUGCCGGCGUAGGAAUAGGACU
rnacentral:ncRNA from 1 species